rnacentral:sRNA from 1 species
UCUCUCUCUCUCUCACGAUUUUGGGUUUUAAUCACUUUCUUUUGUUUUGGCCCAAAGUUGAGAAUUUGGAUUUGUCUGCUUGAUUAAUAGUUUUGGGGAUCAUUAGUUCACUGGUCAAAGCUUCUUUUUUUUUUUUGUUGCAUUGCACCAAACAGGGGAAAGAAUCAUCUGGGUCCAAGUUUCUUAGCGUAGGUUCUUUAUUAGCUUGACUGAGAAACUUGCAGUAGAGAGUAAAAAGCUAAGCUUUUGGCUUCUCUAGAGGUUGAUAAGGAUAAUAGGCGUUGCUGGUUCCAGUAAGUGUUUUUUGUUGAAUAUUAUCCACUAAUUAUAAGUGAGAACAGUAAUUAGUGGUGAUUCCGUUUCUAUUCUUCUUUCUUUAUUGGCUAACUGAGUGGCUCAAAAUGGAAAAUAUUACUGUAUAUUAAAGCAAGAAGUUUCCUUGAUUUUCGUAUAACUUCUGUUGUGUACAUUUGUAUUUGCUGCAAUGGUUACUAACCAUACAGGAGUAAGGGUGUUUUUGGCUGGUAUCAAAUUGUAACCAUGGUGAAAUAGAUAGCCAUGUACUCAAAACACCAUUGAUGCCCCUCGAUGGAGUAGUAGGAUUCAGUGGUGCUAGGCUUGCUCUUUAGCAAGUUGAAUUAGUUAAGAUGUGUCAUUAUCAACCAUGGGAAGAUGAUUCACCUCCAACCGAAGAUCAUGCACAAAGCACCAGAAAUGGCUCAGACCCUGUAGUAGCUGGGUGGCAUUCAUGGGAAACCAGAAUAGCAAUGUUAGAGGCAAGAAUAGCAAGGGCCGAGGCUCGACUGGAUGGACUGGAAGCAAGGAUGUUGUAUCAGCAAAAGGCACUGCACGUCACAUUUGUGCUGUUUUUAGUUACUCUUAUAUAUGCCAUAUGGAAAUGAAUGUUAAGGAUGAUAAACUGUUGCAGCUGCAGUGUUGUACUGCUUGACUUAGGACGAUCAUAGCUGACCAUCUGAUGCAUUUUUUACUGUAGAAUUUAAUCGGAAUCUAACAAGGGGGGAACUAACUGCUGAAAUAUUAUCAAGUAGUUGCAUAAUAUUGCUAUUCUUGGCCUGUCUA